AGCCUGAUGCAGCGACGCCGCGUGGGGGAUGACGGCCUAUCGGGUUGUAAACCUCUUUCAGCACAGACGAAGCGCAAGUGACGGUAUGUGCAGAAGAAGCACCGGCCAACUACGUGCCAGCAGCCGCGGUAAUACGUAGGGUGCGAGCGUUGUCCGGAAUUACUGGGCGUAAAGAGCUUGUAGGUGGUUUGUCGCGUUGUUCGUGAAAUCUCACGGCUCAACUGUGAGCGUGCGGGCGAUACGGGCAGACUAGAGUACUGCAGGGGAGACUGGAAUUCCUGGUGUAGCGGUGGAAUGCGCAGAUAUCAGGAGGAACACCGGUGGCGAAGGCGGGUCUCUGGGCAGUAACUGACGCUGAGAAGCGAAAGCGUGGGGAGCGAACAGGAUUAGAUACCCUGGUAGUCCACGCCGUAAACGGUGGGUACUAGGUGUGGGUUUCCUUCCUUGGGAUCCGUGCCGUAGCUAACGCAUUAAGUACCCCGCCUGGGGAGUACGGCCGCAAGGCUAAAACUCAAAGAAAUUGACGGGGGCCCGCACAAGCGGCGGAGCAUGUGGAUUAAUUCGAUGCAACGCGAAGAACCUUACCUGGGCUUGACAUGCACUAGAAAGCCGUAGAGAUACGGCCCCCCUUGUG
rnacentral:rRNA from 1 species